AAAAGUAGUUAGCCUCAUUUCUCCAACUGUCCCUCAAAAUUAAAAUCUGGCGGUCAGGAAGGUAAUAAAAGAUAGAGAGGUCCGUUCUUUCAUUUCUUUCUCCGCCAAUCAUUGCCACAUAAGGGUCAAUCCCGAGUGUAAACAACACA
ensembl:ncRNA F28F5.12 ncRNA